rnacentral:tRNA from 1 species
AGGAGAUUAGUUUAAAACUUAAAAACAAUUAAAUGUCAAAUAAUAAAUAAUUAAACAAUUAAUUAUUUCCUU